rnacentral:tRNA from 1 species
CAUUAAGAAGCUAAUCAGCGUUAACCUUUUAAGUUAAAGACGGGGGAACAACUCUCCCCUUAAUGA